AGACGUGGCAAUAUCGUAAAUUAACGAGGGUAACGAGGGCAGAUCGGGAAAUAUGGUAGGACAUUCAGUUCCUAACAAACAGCUGCUUGCUGCUGCAGAGUGACUGGAAAACAGAAAACCUCCGCGUCUUCUCUUCUUCUUCUCUAUUUCUUUUUAUUUUCACGACCCAGACACGACUUGGUUUGAAAAUCAGCAACGGCUUCUCUGCAUUAGCGAAAAUGGAGGAGUCUGAACUUAAAUUGACGGCUUUGAAGAAGGCCUACGCCGAAAUAAUCCUCAACACGGCGAAAGAGGCGGCGGCACGUAUUGUAGUGUCGGAGAGAAAAGCUCUGCUGUUUCAAAGGGAGCUCUUUUCGACUAAAGAAGAGGCAUUUCGGAUGCUUCUUAGGCUCAAACAAAUGUUGGAUUCCAAGGCUUGUGAAGCAAAGAUGAUGUCCUCGAGUCAACAAAAAAAGAUUGACGAACUUGAAGCACAGCUCCAGGAAGCUGAGGAUAUAGUGAAAGACCUUAGGGAAGAGUUGAGCGAAGCGCAGACUCAACUGGAGAAGGCGACAAAGAAUCAACCACAGCCUCUGGCAGGGGAAAGUUUAGACAGUGAUACUGCUGCUCCAGGGUUAAUGAUAUCUCAACUGAGUUCGCAUAUAGAUGCGGUUGCAACUUAUGAAAAGAAUUCAAUUUUGAAUGGGACAUAUGAGGGGAGCAGGUGCUACAGUACAAAUGAUGCUCUUAAGGAUCGGUACUGUGUUCCUAAUCCCGAUUUUGCCUCUUUAGUAAUGAGAAGUAAAGAGCCUGAGUUAUACAGAAAUGGAUGCACUCAGAGAAUUCGUGCAUUUGAAAGAAACCUAUUGGAUGGAAAUUUGUCUCUUUCUGGACUAGUUGAUGAUGCAAAGAAUGCAACAUUCAUCAGAGGAGAUGAUGAAGGUAAAGGGAUGUGUAACAUGCCUAAACCAAAGGUUGGCAAUACGCAUGGGGUAGAGAAGAACCAAGAACAACUGAAAGUGAUGCAGCUAGAUGGUAGCCAUAUUCAAGCACCUGCCUUUAAGUCCUUUCAAAAUAAGAGGAAAAGAGCUGCUAGAUAUAGGAGGAGCAAAGCUCCCUCAUGCAGGUAUCUUCCUCAUCAGUUCAAGGAAAUGCACCAAGAUCUCUCCUGCACCAUUACUUCUGCUUCUUCAAUCAAUAACAAUGUUCUCACAGAUAAUGCUUCCAAGAAAUCUGAAGAUGAAAUUCGAAAAGUCACAGAAUCCAUUUUGACCCCAAAAUUACUCUCAGAUACAACUGAAAUGAGCACACGGUCAGGAUUUUCUAACGUAACUGACAAUGAUGCAGGGUUUGUUAGACCUUGUAGUGUUCAGAAGGCAAUGGACAAUGAUAAGAUGAUCAUUGAAGAAUCAGAAUUGACCAGACAGGAAAGUUUAUCUGCAGAAAAAUUGGAGAUUCUGGCUUGCAAAACAGAUGUUGAGAAAGAUAAUAGACCAUUAAAUAAGUCGGAUAUGAGAGCAUCUGAUUUAGAUGGUGGCACUGCUAGUCAACCUGCAGACAAUAAGUUUCUUAAAUAUACAUUCUGCAGAAAGCGCAAGAAGGAGACAUUGAGCAGCCCUGAAAGGUUGUCCCUUCUUGACAAUGACACUUUGGAAAGAAAGACAGGGGAGGAACAAAAUGUUUCUCUCGAGCCACAGAAGUCAAGCUUAUUGACUGAAUCAUCUCGGGAAAGUCGACGAUUAGCACAGGUUGCUCGUCAGCUUAUAUCUUUGUCAGAGAAGAAGUGGUGGAAAUAGAGAUCUGGAUGGACUUUGCUUAGGAAUGGCAAGGACAUUGAAGUUGAAUUAUAAAGAAAAUCAGAUACACUGCCUCUGCUAUAAAGAUUCCAAGCACGGCUUUGGGUCCAGAAAAAUUGAUAGUUCCAUUGUUGAGGAAGAAGUGUAGAUCCCUCUGAAAACGAAAUAUCAAGACAAAUAUUUGGCUCAUUUCAUUUCCAAUCAUCCUGUGUUUAUUGACUCUCGUCCUCAAAAGAUUGUCGGACCAGAUAUGGGAUGAACCCGCUGAGUGUGGCUGUAGUAAAGAGGCAGGGUGUUACUAUGAAUUUGCUUUCAAUGGAGGUAUCCGUUGUGCGUUUCCUAACCCUCCAGAAUGGCCUCCAUUGUUUCAAAUACCUGCUCCUGAAUAUCGCGCUGUGAGAAGUGAGGUUGUUCCUUUUACAGAUUUGCCAGAUGAGUCAUGCAGGACCCAAGAGUCCUGCCCUGCAGCUCUACUUUUCACAGGAAAUAAUCAAACACUUGGCUCAAUUUUGGCUGGGAAUAGAUCCCCAGGGCUUUCAGUAGAAAGUCUUUAGCAGAUGAUGCUUUUGGCUCAGAGUUUUCACCAGGCUAUUCCAAUUUUGAAGAUCCUGCUUUUACUUUGGAUCCCUUCAUCUAUUCUCUACAACGUCAUUGCCCACCAGACUUUAACUUUUUAG